AUACUGAGGGUGCGAGCGUUAAUCGGAAUUACUGGGCGUAAAGCGCGCGUAGGCGGUAAGUUAAGUUGGAUGUGAAAUCCCUGGGCUCAACCCAGGAACUGCAUUCAAAACUGGCUCACUAGAGUAUGGUAGAGGCAAGUGGAAUUCCAGGUGUAGCGGUGAAAUGCGUAGAUAUCUGGAGGAACAUCAGUGGCGAAGGCGACUUGCUGGGCCAAUACUGACGCUGAGGUGCGAAAGCGUGGGUAGCAAACGGGAUUAGAAACCCAAGUAGUCC
rnacentral:rRNA from 1 species